GACGAACGCUGGCGGCGUGCUUAACACAUGCAAGUCGAACGGAAAGGCCCUGCUUUUGUGGGGUGCUCGAGUGGCGAACGGGUGAGUAACACGUGAGUAACCUGCCCUUGACUUUGGGAUAACUUCAGGAAACUGGGGCUAAUACCGGAUAGGAGCUCCUGCUGCAUGGUGGGGGUUGGAAAGUUUCGGCGGUUGGGGAUGGAUUCGCGGCUUAUCAGCUUGUUGGUGGGGUAGUGGCUUACCAAGGCUUUGACGGGUAGCCGGCCUGAGAGAGUGACCGGCCACAUUGGGACUGAGAUACGGCCCAGACGCCUACGGGAGGCAGCAGUGGGGAAUAUUGCGCAAUGGGCGGAAGCCUGAUGCAGAAACGCCGCGUGCGGGAUGACGGCCUUCGGGUUGUAAACCGCUUUCGACUGUGACGAAGCGUGAGUGACGGUAAUGGGUAAAGAAGCACCGGCUAACUACGUG
rnacentral:rRNA from 1 species